rnacentral:ncRNA from 2 species
UUUAUCCAAGUUAAUAGUAACUGUAUAACCUCAAGAAUAUGGCUUGAGGGUCUCUACCAGGAACCAUAAAAUCCUGAUUACAGAAAAUGAUUUUUUUUCA